UACGUAGGGUGCGAGCGUUAAUCGGAAUUACUGGGCGUAAAGCGUGCGCAGGCGGCUUUGCAAGACAGAUGUGAAAUCCCCGGGCUCAACCUGGGAACUGCGCUUGUGACUGCCUCACUAGAGUACGGCAGAGGGGGGUGGAAUUCCGCGUGUAGCAGUGAAAUGCGUAGAUAUGCGGAGGAACACCGAUGGCGAAGGCAAUCCCCUGGGCCUGCACUGACGCUCAUGCACGAAAGCGUGGGGAGCAAACAGGAUUAGAAACCCUAGUAGU
rnacentral:rRNA from 1 species